UACGUAGGGGUGCAAGCGUUGUCCGGAAUUAUUGGGCGUAAAGAGCUCGUAGGCGGUCUGUUGCGUCGGCUGUGAAAACCCGGGGCUCAACCCCGGGCCUGCAGCCGAUACGGGCAGACUAGAGUUCGGCAGGGGAGACUGGAAUUCCUGGUGUAGCGGUGAAAUGCGCAGAUAUCAGGAGGAACACCGGUGGCGAAGGCGGGUCUCUGGGCCGAUACUGACGUGAGGAGCGAAAGCGUGGGGAGCGAACAGGA
rnacentral:rRNA from 1 species